AGCUUUUCGAAUCUGUGCUGAGAUUUCCUGAGACACAAACCCAUGAGGGCUGAUCAAACUUCCAAGAUAAGUGAAGUU
rnacentral:pre_miRNA from 1 species